GGGCCCGUGGUCUAGUGGUUAUGACGUUGCCCUUACAAGGCGAAGAUCACCAGUUCGAUUCUGGUCGGGCCCA
rnacentral:tRNA from 1 species